rnacentral:rRNA from 1 species
GACGAACGCUGGCGGCGUGCCUAAUACAUGCAAGUAGAACGCUGAAGAGAGGAGCUUGCUCUUCUUGGAUGAGUUGCGAACGGGUGAGUAACGCGUAGGUAACCUGCCUUGUAGCGGGGGAUAACUAUUGGAAACGAUAGCUAAUACCGCAUAACAAUGGAUGACACAUGUCAUUUAUUUGAAAGGGGCAAUUGCUCCACUACAAGAUGGACCUGCGUUGUAUUAGCUAGUAGGUGAGGUAAUGGCUCACCUAGGCGACGAUACAUAGCCGACCUGAGAGGGUGAUCGGCCACACUGGGACUGGGACACGGCCCAGACUCCUACGGGAGGCAGCAGUAGGGAAUCUUCGGCAAUGGGGGCAACCCUGACCGAGCAACGCCGCGUGAGUGAAGAAGGGUUUCGGAUCGGAAAGAUCUGUUGUAAGUCAAGAACGGGUGUGAGAGUGGAAAGUUCACACUGUGACGGUAGCUUACCAGAAAGGGACGGCUAACUACGUG